rnacentral:sRNA from 1 species
AGGUUCCUAGUGAGCCUCCUGGGCAGGGGUCUGGAGGGUCGGAGAAGGAGCCCCGCAGCUCCCACGCCCCCACCUGCCUCCAGUCUUGAAGUGGCUCUGCCGCCAGAAGCUGGCAGCUCUACCUGUCUCAGAUUUCUGGAGGGAUGGGUAGGAGCCAGGGCUCGUGCCCACGGCGCCUCCCUGCUCCCUGCAGCUGAGUCCCAACGGGGGCCAGGAGGACACGCGGAUGAAGAACGUGCCGGUGCCGGUGUACUGCCGCCCUCUGGUGGAGAAGGACCCCACCAUGAAGCUGUGGUGUGCCGCGGGCGUCAACCUGAGCGGGUGGAGGCCCAAUGAGGACGACGCUGGGAAUGGAGUCAAGCCAGCGCCAGGCCGCGAUCCCCUGACCUGCGACCGCGAAGGAGACGGCGAGCCCAAGAGCGCCCACACGUCUCCCGAGAAGAAGAAGGCCAAGGAGCUCCCUGAAAUGGACGCCACCUCCAGCCGGGU